AAAAGAAGCAGGACCUAAAGUUACUCAGAGCUUGACCUGAUCCCUGUCUGCUGUUUCCUCUCCCUUUAUAAACCACCCUGGAGAAGACUGUCCUCAAAGGCUCUUUUGUAUCUGCUCCAGCCUUCUUUGGAUUCAAUACAAACAAGUCACUGACUCGUAGCUUUCAGAUGAGCAAGAAGAGAUGAAUUCUUCCUCAUGAAAUGAACUAACAAGGACUCACGCAGUGUGACCCUGGGCCAGUCAUUUCUUUGUAGGUAAAAUAAGAUAAUGAGAUCUCAUUCAAUUGAGGCAGUUAGGUGGUACAGUGAAUAGAGUACUGGGCCUGGAGGCAGGAAGACCUGAAUUCAAAUCUGGCUUUAGCCACUUAGUAGUUGUGUGACCCUGGGCAAGUCACUUAACUCUGUUUACCUCACUUUCCUCAUCUA
rnacentral:lncRNA from 1 species